AGCCUGAACGCUGGCGGCGUGGCUAAGACAUGCAAGUCGAACGAUAUAGUGGCGAACGGGUGAGUAAUGCAUCGCUAACGUGCCCCGAGCUCAGGGAUAGCUAUUCGAAAGGGUAGGUAACACCUGAUGUCAUGUCGGAAGGGUAUCCUUCUGACCUGAAAGAUUACGGCUCGGGAUCGGGUGAUGUCGUAUCAGCUAGUUGGUGGGUAAUGGCCUACAAGGCUUCGACGCGUAGCCGGACUGAGAGGUUGACCGGCCACAUCGGGACUGAGACACUGCCCGGACUCCUACGGGGGGCUGCAGUAACGAAUCUUCCGCAAUGCACGAAAGUGUGACGGAGCGACGCCGCGUGAAGGACGAAGUCCUAGGAUGUAAACUUCUGUCAAGGGGAAAGAAAGUCUAGAUCUAACCCCAAAGGAAGAGACGACUAACUCUGUGCCAGCAAGCCGAC
rnacentral:rRNA from 1 species